AGCUCAGCCAGAAACUUGCUGUGUGCAGUCGAGCGGGAGGGUCGCAUCCCAUAAUGUGACAAGGCAGGCAGCGCACCGGCAGGUUCUGGUGGCGGGCAGCUGAAGCUGCUGGCUGCUGGUGACAGUGACAGUUGGAUGCUGUACGUUAGUAAGCCAGCGCUGAAAGGGCAAGGAAGAAGAGAAACAGCAGCUUGAGAAGUUGGAGGGCAUCAGCAGGGGGCACCACAGUAGAGGCAACACAGGCUAUGGCAAUUCAGGGUCACAUCAACGUGGCACCAGACUCCUACCUUUUGAACGAGGGCAGGUGCUGCUAUAUGUUUGUUACAGCACAUGGGGAUAACCCAACAGUUAUGAAGUCCAAGGUUGUGCCACACUUUAAAAGGCAUGAAACUGGCAAUGAUUUAGUUUACUUGAUGUGCUUUUCGUCUGGGUGGCAUUUUUGCAUUCUCUGUCUUGAGCUGCCUCUGAGAACAGAGGUGAAGAACCUUUCUGGCAGGUUGAGAGGUGUCAAGUUCCUGAAUGCUGAAAAAAAGCAACAAUUUGGAAGUCUUGCAGUCUUUUUUUACAUUUCUUCUGGCAAGGCUCUGGUGCCCUAAAACAGCUCCGUGUCAGCCAGAAAUUCAGUAGGUGAGGCUCCUCUCAGCAUGAGGAAUGCUUAUUGAAUUUUUCUCUAUGGUGCAGCUAAGGAAGGUUCCAGAAACUGCCAGAGCAAGGCAGCAACCCUAACUUUCCAGAAGGGCCAUAGCUCAGUGGUUGUGGCACCUGCUUUACUUGUGUAAAGUCCCCAUCAUCUCUUGUCAAAAAUAUUGGGUAACCCUGCCUAACAUGUCGGGACAGACAUUACAGCAUUGGACUGUCCACUGGUUUGACUCAUGAAGUUGCUUCUUUAUAUCUGCUAACAAACCAGAUCCUGAAGCCAGAUGCAGGUGGGGGCGAGGAGUUGAGUGUUAGUGAAGAUAGUUGUGGAGUGGGGCACUUCCUCCUUGGUUAGAAGCCACCUGGCUAGUCAAAAGACCUGCACAAAUAAUUUGCCAGGGUGGUUUGCUUUCCAUCUUGGGCUUUUCCUUUCAGCUCAGCCUCAGCUUUCUCUUAUUUAUAAUGCCUGUAACACUUUUCAACGUAGGAUGGGAUUUGCAGUUGUCAGCUCAUAACAACAGCCCCGUGAAGCCAAGUUGUUAGGCUGAGAGAGUGUGUCUUUCCCAAGGUCACACAGUGAGCUUCAUGGCAGAGCAAGGAGCUGAAAUAGUGCUUCACACCCAAGGCUGUGUACAAAUAAUAAUUCCUGAAGAGCAGGUGUAGGGAUGUGUUUGUGUGUAUUCAUAGAAUCGUGUGUGUGUGUGUGUGUGUGUGUGUGUGUGUGAGAAAGAGAGAGAGAGAGAGAGAGACAGACAGACAGACAGAAAGACUUUCCUCUUAAAGCAGUCUUUCCCGACACUAGCUCCAAUCCCACUGCUGCACAAAUGUGACAAACUCUUAUGAUACCCUUGGCCAGGCUUUCUGUAUUGCCAAAUCAGCACCAGUGAAUUCCCACUCACUCACACCUGGGCAUCAGGUAUGUGCCCAGCCUCAUCUAUCCCAAGCUGCAAGCAAAUUUCUCUCAAAAUUUGUACUUGUGGGGAACUGCAGCAGUGCCUGCCUCAGUCCCAGAGCCCUUUCAAGCAUGUGACCAUUAGAUAAAGAAUCGGUAUCUCUGUAGAGUCAGUACCCUAAAGCUGACAGCUUACCUCAGUGUCCUACUUCAUGAGCACAAUGAGAUUUUUUUGUCCAAUUAGGGUAAACCAAAAAAGAGUUUUGUUAGGAUAGGAAUGACCGGUUGGAUAAAGAGUAAGAGGAAUACAGAACAAAGUUGCUGAACAAAAUAAAAUACAAUUUCUAGUUUAUACUCGUGCUCCAGUAGUUACCUUCCAAUGCAACUGAUUUGUGUAUGUGUGCUUGUGUGAGUGGGACCCAAAUUCCCUCUUUUAAGGUAAAGAUCAAUCCCUUCCAAGUUUUAAAAGCCCUCCCCAGUUAUCUCAACAUAGAGUGGUUUUUUUGAAACCAGCCUGUAACAUACUGAGUUAAUUUAGGAGGUUUUCCUAAGGACUGCUGGUGAUGUCUUAGUGGUAGAACUCCUGCUUUUCAUGCAGACGUUCUGCGGUUCAGCUCCUAGUGUCUUGAGACCUUGGCAAGCUGCUGGGAGUCAAUAGUAUACAGUACUAAACUAAAUGAGUCCAUGGCAGUUUCACACAUCAGUGAUCGCUAGCUUUGAGGAGAGUCCUGGGCAAACAAUCCUCUGGUAAGCCCCUACCUCUGUCAGUGAGCCCUGGCAAGCUUAGGAGCCUGUAUCCCUUCCAAGCAGUUGCGGGCAACUGGGUCUCUCAGCCCUUUAGUUUUCCCACAAUGCUCCAGAGCAACGUUGGGUUGAGAGCAGAGUGGCUCGAUCUAGCCUUUUGUUGCUCAGAGUCCCUCAAAGGACACUGAGAGGGUGGACAUCUACAUUGGGAUCCCUGCACAGGGGACCUGGCAGCUGCCCAAGGAUGUCAGGUGCUGGCAGCAGACUAGUGGCUCCAGCUCCUGCUGCUGUCUCAGUAGGAACAUAGGAAGUUGCCUUAUACCAGAUCAGGCCAUUGGUCCAUCGAGCCCAGUAUUCUCUAUUCUGAUUGGCAGUGGCUCUUUACGGUUUCUGGUGAAGGUCUUCCCAAGCCUGUGUUCCACUCCAGAGUCAUGAUCUCUGCAGGAGAUCUCUCCCCUCCAAAGUUGGCCAUGUGGACUUCCUUUUGCCCCCUUUGCUACUCUCCUUCUGAAUUUCCCUAGUUUAACUUGUUUAAUCUAGCAUUCCUUCUUCUGCCAAAGGGCAAAAAUAUGCCUUGGUCCCCAUUCCCAGUGUGUAGGCCAGACAAUGACUUCACCAUUGUUGUUCAAAUGCAGGCUUCUUGCCCACCUGCGUUGGCAAGGAACCUUAUCAAUUAAGGAGAAAGGCUGGAUUCAUCCAGCCACCUGGGAUUGCUCCAUUGCCAAUUCAUUGUUUGGGGUGGGGGUAGGGCAAGGGCAUGUUAUGGGGGAACGUGAAUGGGGAGCACUCCAAACUAGCUCCCUGUUCAGUUUUAUUACGUUUAAAAAUGCAUUUUCAUGUCAGUAAUUGGAUCUAAACAAUCUGAUCUGUGUCAGUGAGAAGCUGUCCUGGAUUCUGCCCCAUCCCAGCCUCACCAUCUCCAUUGAAGUGGCAGUUCUUUUUCUGUGGUGCUGGAAAAUACGGGGCAAUGACCAGAAUGGAAAUUAGGGACUUCACUGCAGGUCUCAGCCACUGGGUGGCACUCUAAUUUCACAACUGCAAGGCGGCUGAAAAGGGUUGAACUCACAGCCCUGUGCCUGCCGCAGCAGUGGCAGCUGGCUGUUUGGAACCUCUGCAGAGCCAGUGCGUCCGGGACAAAAGUCCCAUCCGUCUAGAUUAUGGGCCAAUUCUAAUCAUAGCUCCUCCUCCUUCCCCACUGCCAUAGUCCCAAACCUGAGUUAUUCCUCCCCCUCCUUCAACUCCCACAAGCCUUCCUCUGUUAUCUCAGCCUGGGGUAUUUUACAGAAGCCAGCCUGUAGCAUACUGGGUUAAUUUAACGGGCUCCCCUUGGGACUUCGGGCCUGUUUAUGUUGUAGCUUUUCCGCUGAUUUCCCAAUUUGAUAUGAAAGCUAAAUUAAGCAGUGGCAUGGCUUGCGGGUCUCGCCCGCUGCAUACCAGGGAGGCGUUGGCACCUCGUGGGUUUGCUGCAGGCCUCCCAUGGGACUUGCCACCUGUCAGGGCUGCAGUCAGCAUGAAAAUUAACACUAGUCACUGAACGCUCCGAAAGCAAGAGGGGGAAAUGAAAAGGAGCUGUCCUGAUUCAGGGUAGCGCACGACAGGAUGGGGAGAAGGGUGAAAGGGCUAUGGGCUUGAGGGCAUCAGAAGACUUUAAAAAGCAUGGGAGUUUAAAAAGGUGGGGGAAGAAAAAUCAGACUUAUGGUUCAGCUGAGUGAGCUACCCUGCCAUAGAAAAGUCCAUAGGACGAUGUUCAAAGGUGAAAAGGCAUCACUCAUGGCCCGUGAGCCAGCAAAACGAGCAGAGGCAGAUUGCGGGGGCAGCCCAUCUGCUUUUGUCACUGCUACAUCACCAGAUGCUUUUUCUGCAUCAGCCUUCCCCAGCCUGGGCACAAAUGGUAUCUGGAAGGCUCCGGGUUGGGAAAGGCUGUUCUAGAUGUCCUGUCACAGGAGGUCAAAGCCUUUACUUGGCAAAAGAGAAGGUCUGAGAGGGAACAGGGCAAGGGCACUAUCAAGCCAUAGGAGAGACAGUUCAUCCACCCUCUGUCCUAAAGGCUCAUUAGCCCUUGCAGAGCUAGCUAGCUACACACCUGCAGCCUUCAGCCUUCAGCCUGACCAAGCCUUAAGAGCAGUGCUUGAGACCCAUCAGGCUGAUUAAUAUGAAGGGGGAGGGCUUUCUCAGUGGCGAUCCCACACCUUGGAAACUUCCCACCCACAGAGAUUCAUAGAGCCUCGUUGCUGCUGGUCUCUCUCACCCAAUUCCCCCAAACCUCUGAAGCCUCAUUUAUUCAAGUCUGCAUUAGCUGAAAUGUGCUGUACGUGGAAAAAAUCUUUAGCUGCUGGUUGGUGUGUGUGUGUUUGCAAUUGUAUUUUUGUGUGCUUUACAGUUUUGUAACCUGUCUUUGUGCCUUGAAACGUUGGUCAAAAGGUUGCGUAGCGCAAUCUUGGGUUAUAACCAAGUUUCUUAAUGCAAAAAUGGAAGACACUGGGAGCAGCUUGCCUUGAAGUAACAUGUCAAGUAAAGUCCUGUUUCUCAACAGCUAUCCUGGAUCCUCACACAGUGGCUGAUUUGAUAUCAUACUUUUAACAUGAGGGCUGUGUUAUGGCUUGAUUUUGUGUCUGUGUGUGUUUUGCUAUAAAUUCCUGUGCAUUUGUUACAUUGGUAGCAUGUAUGUUGUCUAGGUGUCAUUGUGUGUCUUGGUGUUGCAUGGCUGUGAUGCAUUUCUGGCUGUUUUCUUAUAGCCACCAUGCCGCUGUAAAUGUGUGUGACCAUUAUGAUGGUAUUUGUGGUAUAUUAUGAAAUGUUUGCAGUAGUACUGAUGUGUGAGUGUGUUCUUCCCCAAAGUUAUUUUCUGUGCCCGUAUUGUGUAAUUUUGAUGGAUGAUGCCUUUAUGUGGCUGGUAUAUUCGGAGGCUGUAUUUGUGUAUCAUGCAUAUGGUCAUUUCCACAGCCAUUUUCUAGGCAUGAAAUAGGCAUUGGGAACACGUGUGCUACAUAUUUGUGUUGGUGUUUACAUAUAUUCCCGCAGUCACAUUGAGGUGCGUAGUAGACACCUCUUCAAAGAGAGACCUUAUCUAGUACAUCAUUGUGUCUGCUGUGAUUUCUUUGUAUGUGUCUGAUGGGACUAAGGUGCCACUAUACCCAAAUGUGUGUGAUUUUAGUGGUGUUGCAGACUAGUGUGUAACUGAGCUGAGUUUCAUUCUCAUUUGCACCUGGAGGCUUCCAGGGAGCUGAGAUGCAGCUGACUCUGGGGAGAUGGCAGCAGCUAUUUGUACGGGAAUCCCACCCCUCAUCGCCAGGCUCUCUACGAAAUAACUGCAAUGUUCAGCUGCAUCAGCAGGGAGAGAAUGACUGAGGGAAUCAUUUUCUGUCUCUGAGCUGAUAAUAACGUGGCAUCAUGCAGCCAAGAAGUGUGGAGAUCCUGGAGAUUAAAUCAGAAAAGGGGAGGGGGAGAGACGAGAC
rnacentral:lncRNA from 1 species